GAUGAACGCUGGCGGCGUGCCUAAUACAUGCAAGUCGAGCGAACAGACGAGGAGCUUGCUCCUCUGACGUUAGCGGCGGACGGGUGAGUAACACGUGGAUAACCUACCUAUAAGACUGGGAUAACUUCGGGAAACCGGAGCUAAUACCGGAUAAUAUAUUGAACCGCAUGGUUCAAUAGUGAAAGACGGUUUUGCUGUCACUUAUAGAUGGAUCCGCGCCGCAUUAGCUAGUUGGUAAGGUAACGGCUUACCAAGGCAACGAUGCGUAGCCGACCUGAGAGGGUGAUCGGCCACACUGGACCUGAGACACGGUCCAGACUCCUACGGGAGGCAGCAGUAGGGAAUCUUCCGCAAUGGGCGAAAGCCUGACGGAGCAACGCCGCGUGAGUGAUGAAGGUCUUCGGAUCGUAAAACUCUGUUAUUAGGGAAGAACAAAUGUGUAAGUAACUAUGCACGUCUUGACGGUACCUAAUCAGAAAGCCACGGCUAACUACGUG
rnacentral:rRNA from 1 species